rnacentral:rRNA from 1 species
UACGUAGGUGGCAAGCGUUGUCCGGAUUUACUGGGCGUAAAGGAUGCGUAGGCGGACAUUUAAGUCAGAUGUGAAAUACCCGAGCUUAACUUGGGUGCUGAAUUUGAAACUGGGUGUCUAGAGUGCAGGAGAGGUAAGUGGAAUUCCUAGUGUAGCGGUGAAAUGCGUAGAGAUUAGGAAGAACACCAGUGGCGAAGGCGACUUACUGGACUGUAACUGACGCUGAGGCAUGAAAGCGUGGGGAGCAAACAGG